UACGUAGGGGGCUAGCGUUGUCCGGAUUUAUUGGGCGUAAAGAGCGUGUAGGCGGCUCGAUAAGUCUGCUGUGAAAGUCCAGGGCUCAACCCUGGAAGGCCGGUGGAAACUGUCGGGCUAGAGUCCGGAAGAGGCGAGUGGAAUUCCCGGUGUAGCGGUGAAAUGCGCAGAUAUCAGGAAGAACACCCGUGGCGAAAGCGGCUCUCUGGGACGGUACUGACGCUGAGACGCGAAAGCGUGGGGAGCGAACAGG
rnacentral:rRNA from 1 species